GCCUCAUUCCUGGUGUUCCCACCAGGAGAAGGCAGGGAAGGUUGUGGGGAAACCCUUCCCACGUCCUCCAAGGUGUUCUUGUCCGGGUUUUAGGGCUGUGCAAGGGGUGGAGAAGCAUCUCCUCUGCUUUUCCCUCCUCUCCAUGGCUUCAGAGAUGCUCCCUGAGCCUGCAAAUAUUUGGAAUUUCAAGACUCUUCCUGCUGGAGGCACAUCUGGACCUCAAAUGUGGAUCCCCAGCUUUCUCUCUGCCUGUUUUGUUCAUGUUCCCAACCCGGCAGAAUGUGAUCUCCUGGAGUCCCCUGAAUUUCUUAGAAGACAGAAGCCCAGGGAGGAUUCCCCAAAGCAGAAUGCAAGGCUGCAGAAAUGAAAGAAUAAUUUAGAGCCUUA